GAUGAACGCUGGCGGCGUGCCUAAUACAUGCAGGUCGAGCGAAUGGAUUAAGAGCUUGCUCUUAUGAAGUUAGCGGCGGACGGGUGAGUAACACGUGGGUAACCUGCCCAUAAGACUGGGAUAACUCCGGGAAACCGGGGCUAAUAGCGGAUAACAUUUUGAACCGCAUGGUUCGAAAUUGAAAGGCGGCCUCGGCUGUCACUUAUGGAUGGACCCGCGUCGCAUUAGCUAGUUGGUGAGGUAACGGCUCACCAAGGCAACGAUGCGUAGCCGACCUGAGAGGGUGAUCGGCCACACUGGGACUGAGACACGGCCCAGACUCCUGCGGGAGGCAGCAGUAGGGAAUCUUCCGCAAUGGACGAAAGUCUGACGGAGCAACGCCGCGUGAGUGAUGAAGGCUUUCGGGUCGUAAAACUCUGUUGUUAGGGAAGAACAAGUGCUAGUUGAAUAAGCUGGCACCUUGACGGUACCUAACCAGAAAGCCACGGCUAACUACGUGCCAGCCGCCGCUGUAA
rnacentral:rRNA from 1 species